UACGUAGGGUGCAAGCGUUAAUCGGAAUUACUGGGCGUAAAGCGUGCGCAGGCGGUGAUGUAAGACAGUUGUGAAAUCCCCGGGCUCAACCUGGGAACUGCAUCUGUGACUGCAUCGCUGGAGUGCGGCAGAGGGGGAUGGAAUUCCGCGUGUAGCAGCGAAAUGCGUAGAUAUGCGGAGGAACACCGAUGGCGAAGGCAAUCCCCUGGGCCUGCACUGACGCUCAUGCACGAAAGCGUG
rnacentral:rRNA from 1 species